CUUCUGUGGAUUUUAGCCUGAUAACAACCCUGUCAGCUCCAGAGGAUAUCAUUUUGAGUAAAUUGAAAGCCAAUAUAAUUGAAAUGAGCCAAUUGGAACUGUUGGAACUGCCAUUGCAAUGUCUUUUGGUGGAGGUUAAGCAAUCGUCUGUUGAGCAGACUUCACCACGCCGAUCCUGCCUUGAGAUAAGAGGAAAGGCUACAUCAGUAUUUGAAUUCCUUCCCAUGCUUCUUUUCCAAGAUUAAAUGAUUCAAUUCAAAACCAUUACUCUUAAGACAAAAGGCAGGUUACUGGUUGAACACUCAUGGAUGUAGUCCUUAAACUGAGUUUUUGAAGCAGAAGUUAUUUCAGUCCAUGGAAGCCUUUCCACCAACGGUAACAUCUGUUAAACCUGGC